CUUUGCUGCAUGGGUGCCUCUGGCAGUACUGCUGUGAUACUGUAAUAUUUACUGGGUCUUCUAAAGCCACCCCUUUUGAGGUCAUAAUUACACGAGACUCUCAUCUCUUCUAGAAAAUAUGGAGAUUCCCAGUUCUUCCCCAGCACUGCAGAUUGAAAGCAUGGAAAAGAUAUUGGCAUUAGUCACUUGGCUUCUUUAUUUUACGAACCACUUCUGAACAGCAGAGGCUGCGUAAGAUUACUCUGUGAGUAGCUUUGUGGAAUUGGAAUGGAGCAAAUUACCAGAAGGAGUCAGCUAAGUAGCUGGGACCUGAACUGAGCCAACCUCUCAUCUGCAUGUUGGAAACUAGUUGUGAAUGACGGCACCAGUGCAGCCUAGAUGUGAGGAAAGAGUUGGAUAGUUCCACAAAUAACCUUAUCUGAGAGGAAGUGCAGCAGUAUGUGAUGUAAUCUGUGGGGCCAGGAGCAUGAGUUGAAGGGGACUUCACUGGCAGUGCGUAGGAAGCUUCGUGUCUGCAAUGGGCUGCAACAUUACUGCAUGCACACACACAUGGGAGGAGUGUCCAGAGACUCCAGGACCUCAAGUACUCUGCAGUAAUGGACUGGUACAAAGCCUACUCUUGAAGUUCCUGAGAGGCAAGUGAGGAAUGGCAGGUGAGUAGUUACAUAGUAAUGAUUUGUGCUAUUAUUACAAGAGAGACAGGUCUAGCUCAUUUAUACACAACCUAACACAACAGGAUUACUGCCUUUUUGGCCUAAUAAUAUUUUGAAGUGUUACACAAUGAUGGGAUCCCUGCCUAA